rnacentral:misc_RNA from 1 species
ACACGGGAGAACUCAAAUUUCAAAAUGAGUGAAAUGAAGGCAUACAGGGUGGAACUAACACCAUUUAAAAAACCACUAGUACAGAUCGUAGGUACAUGGGAAACUGAGAGUUCCAUCACCUUUUCAAGAUAAUGUAAUUAGAAAACAGAUUCAUUAUAUGUUAUUGUGCUUGUACAACCUAAAAAAAGUUGAGUUGAGUGCUAUUUCUAAACAGAUUGCUGUACAAAGCCAAAGCAACUAACUAGUGGCAUUGUAUUCAUUUUGAAACAGAUUGAAAAACAAUAACUUACAACCGAAUAGAAAUCUCCUCACAUCUACGGAACACGGGUUGAAGUUGGACAUUAAAAACUCACUUCAUCUUUAAGAGAAUCAGAAUUUAAUUGUAAUUUUAUCAGAAUUUAAUUGUAGUUUUUUCAGAAUGAGAUCGUCAUUGGACAAUAAUUUUACUACCAAGGCAGUAGUAGUAGCAUCUGCAGAGAAUCCCUUACCA